AGGAUGAACGCUGGCGGUCUGCUUAACACAUGCAAGUCGAACGGGCGGUAGCGAAUAACGGUUAGUGGCGGACGGGUGAGUAACGCGUGAGAAUCUACCUUCAGGACGGAGACAACAGUUGGAAACGACUGCUAACCCCCGAUGUACUGAAAAGGCAAAUAUUUAUAGCCUGAAGAAGAGCUCGCGUCCGAUUAGCUAGUUGGAGAGGUAAAAGCUCACCAAGGCGACGAUCGGUAGCUGGUCUGAGAGGACGAUCAGCCACACUGGGACUGAGACACGGCCCAGACUCCUACGGGAGGCAGCAGUGGGGAAUUUUCCGCAAUGGGCGAAAGGCCUGACGGAGCAAGACCGCGUGGGGGAAGAAGGCUCUUGGGUUGUAAACCCUUUUCUCUGGGAAGAAAGUUGUGAAAGCAGCCUGACGGUACCAGAGGAAUCAGCAUCGGCUAACUCCGUGCCAGCAGCCGC
rnacentral:rRNA from 1 species